UACAGAGGGUGCAAGCGUUAAUCGGAAUUACUGGGCGUAAAGCGCGCGUAGGUGGUUCGUUAAGUUGGAUGUGAAAUCCCCGGGCUCAACCUGGGAACUGCAUUCAAAACUGUCGAGCUAGAGUAUGGUAGAGGGUGGUGGAAUUUCCUGUGUAGCGGUGAAAUGCGUAGAUAUCUGGAGGAACACCGGUGGCGAAGGCGGCAUCCUGGACCAAUUCUGACGCUGAGGAGCGAAAGCCAGGGGAGCAAACGGG
rnacentral:rRNA from 1 species